rnacentral:rRNA from 1 species
CCCUUAGAUGUUCUGGGCCGCACGCGUGCUACACUGAGUGGAUCAGCGGGUCAGGUUGCGCGAAAGUGUUUCCUAAUCUUGAAAUCCGCUCGUGAUGGGGAUUGACGGUUGCAAUUUUCCGUCAUGAACGAGGAAUACCUUGUAAGCGCGGGUCAUCAUCCCGCGCUGAAUACGUCCCUGCCCUUUGUACACACCGCCCAUCGCUCCUACCGAUUGAGUGGUCCGGUGAGGCUUUGGGAUCUGAGCGGAAAGAGCGUUUCGCUGUUUCUGCUCGGAAAACUCAGUCGAACCUUAUCAUUUAGAGGAAGGAGAAGUCGUAACA